rnacentral:rRNA from 1 species
GGGGGCAACCCUGAUCCAGCCAUGCCGCGUGGGUGAAGAAGGCCUUAGGGUUGUAAAGCCCUUUCGGCGGGGAAGAUGAUGACGGUACCCGCAGAAGAAGCCCCGGCUAACUCCGUGCCAGCAGCCGCGGUAAUACGGAGGGGGCUAGCGUUGUUCGGAAUCACUGGGCGUAAAGGGCGCGUAGGCGGACCAGCAAGUCAGGGGUGAAAGCCCUGGGCUCAACCUAGGAAGUGCCCUUGAAACUGCAGGUCUUGAGUCCGGGAGAGGAGAGCGGAAUUCCCAGUGUAGAGGUGAAAUUCGUAGAUAUUGGGAAGAACACCGGUGGCGAAGGCGGCUCUCUG